CUCUUAUCAAGAGUAGGCGGAGGGAUUUGGCCCGAUGAAGCCCAGCAACCGACUGUCACCAGCAUAGCUGGAGCGUUUUAUUAAACGCUGGUAUCCACCUGACAGCACGGUGCUACUUCCAACAGAAAGAGUAAUCUUUCUGGCAGAUAAGAG
rnacentral:ncRNA from 2 species